rnacentral:rRNA from 1 species
CAAUAGCGUAUAUUAACUUUGCUGCAGUUAAAAAGCUCGUAGUCUAAUGUGUGGCCCGUCAAACUCGACCGAGACUCUAUUAAGGGUUUCGAGUCGAAUUGUUUGUGGGCCAUUUUUCUGGAUAGUACUUCAUUCCUUUAAUUAGGUGGGAGUACAAUCUAGAACGUUUACUGUGAGCAAAUGGAAGUGUUCAAAGCAGGCUUUAUGUUAGCUUGAACCAUUUAGCAUGGAAUAAUAAGAUAUGGCUUUAGUCUUAUCUUGUUGGCUCCACGGCUAAAGUAAUGAUCAAUAGGGGUGGUUGGGGGUGCUCAUAUUCAGGGGGUAGCAGUGAAAUGCGUUGAUCCUCUGAAGAUGUCCAAAAGCGAAAGCAUUCACCAAGGACACUUUCUUUGA